GAAAGCAGGGGAUCGUAAGACCUCGCGCUAUUGGAGCGGCCGAUGUCCGAUUAGCUAGUUGGUGGGGUAAUGGCCUACCAAGGCGACGAUCGGUAGCUGGUCUGAGAGGAUGAUCAGCCACACUGGGACUGAGACACGGCCCAGACUCCUACGGGAGGCAGCAGUGGGGAAUUUUGGACAAUGGGCGAAAGCCUGAUCCAGCCAUGCCGCGUGAGUGAAGAAGGCCUUCGGGUUGUAAAGCUCUUUCGGCCGGAACGAAAUCGUCCGGGCUAAUACCCCGGAUGGAUGACGGUACCGGAAGAAGAAGCACCGGCUAACUACGUGCCAGCAGCCGCGGUAAUACGUAGGGUGCAGGCGUUAAUCGGAAUUACUGGGCGUAAAGCGUGCGCAGGCGGCUUCCUAAGUCAGAUGUGAAAUCCCCGGGCUUAACCUGGGAACUGCGUUUGAAACUACAAAGC
rnacentral:rRNA from 1 species